UGGGAAGUAUGGUAGGUGCAAAUUAAUUAAUGUAGUCUCUUACAAUUUUCUCACAAUUUAUAUUGUUGAAUUGCUGGAUAGUAAAGAUAUUCUUACAUAUAUAGAAUUCUAAAUUAGCAACUUUUUCUGUGCACUUUGUAAUCUGACAUUGUGUACUCUAUGGUUAAUUAGUUAUAUUUACCUGAUCUAGCAAGAGACAUAGUAAUCUUAACUUGAGUGCUACUCCAAAUCUGUAUUACAAUUGUGAUAGUAAUGAUACUUUAGCUACAUUAGGAUUUUAGAUCACUUAAGGUCUCUUAUGCAUCAUUGAGGUUAUUAUUAUUUAAGAUUGAGUUAAUUGAAGCUGUUAAUGGGUGAAUGUAGCAACAUGGAAUUUUUUAGAGUGAUUCUGGAUUUGAAGAAUGUGAAGAGUGAUGUCUUCUUGUUUACUCUCAUUUUCAUGGUUCUUGGCAUGAAAAUUGUCUGAUUUUUAAUUGGUCUUUGAUGCAGGCACCCGUUAUGGUGCUAG
rnacentral:misc_RNA from 1 species